rnacentral:rRNA from 1 species
UGCCAGCAGCCGCGGUAAUACGUAGGGAGCGAGCGUUAUCCGGAAUUAUUGGGCGUAAAGCGUGCGUAGGCGGUUCGUUAAGUCAAAUCUGAAAGCCCACAGCUUAACUGUGGAGGGUGAUUUGAAACUGGCGAGCUUGAGUACGGCAGAGAUUAGUGGAAUUCAAUGUGUAGCGGUGAAAUGCGUAGAUAUAUUGAAGAACACCAGUGGCGAAGACGGCUAACUGGACCGGAACUGACGCUGAUGCACGAAAGCGUGGGUAGCAAACAGGAUUAGAUA